UUUUAAAACAUUCUAUAAUUUAGAUUUCUUACUGAUGGAGACUGGUCUUUCCUGCAGUUAAUCCAAAUGAGGAAAUCUAUGGAAAAGCUAAUGGCUUGGCGGGUAGGGGGGGUUACUUCCGUUACUAAAGAUAAGCCAUUGAAGAACUACAAGACUUACCUACGAAAGGCUUGAUUCUCAGUUUGUCAAGAGUUCUUUGAGUCAUCACUCUUUCCUAGCCCCGUAAAAAAGUAUUUUAUUUUAUCUAGGUUUUUAUCAGACUAAAAUCUCCAAGCUUGUCAUUGAUCCAUUUAUUUUUAGUAAUAAUUUCAAUAAAAUUACAAUAUAAGCAAAAAUAAAAUAGGCACCUUUGGAGUAUUAUAUUAGUGAAUUGCUUGUAUACAUCACUUUAAUCAUUUGGUGAAUAUGUAUGAUGAGUGGCCCAAUAAUAGCUAAUACUGACCAAAGAAUUAAAUGAAUGCUAGGGAGAAGAAAAAACUAGUGGUUAUUCUUUCAAUAUCUAUAUAGUUAAUUCUUGAUAAUUUGUGCAUUACUGGUAGUGGGAUAUACAUAAGUAAUAGAAACCUGUAUCAUUCAAAAUCUCAAAGGCAAAAGCUGCACUGUGUUCUAUCAGACCUUUACACAUUGUUGAUUGCUCUGGUGCUCAUCUAAUUUCCUGAUUACUUACCUAUCAGGAAAGUAUAUUCAAGAUCCAUGCUAGACCUAAAAGUCAGGUUAAUAGGAGGAAGAGGAGGAAAAACAAAGUUGAACUUGCUGUUCUCAAAUCACUAAGAUUUGUUUCUUCUUGCAGGGAAAAUGGAUUGGAAAGGAAUCUUGUGGCCUGAUAUAAAUGCUGAUAGAUUUGUGCCAGCAAGUAAGGAUCUGGGGAGAAAGAGGAAGUGGUAACAAGUGGCACCUUGGAGCUGGCUAUCACACCCGUUUUGUUUGGAGUGAGGACAGGAACAAAAAUUUGCGUGAAGCCUUCAGGAGAGAAGAGAGGCAGGGACUGAAGGAGGGAAAAAGCCCCAAAGCUGCAGGCCUGUCUGAAGGCCACUGAAAGUGUGGGUGGAAAGAGGUAUCCUUUCUGCAUACACCAGUAGCAACUGCUGAGGUGAGUGGAGGUGUGGGAGUUGUGGAAGAAGCACAGCUAUUUCUAACCCUGCUGGUGAAACUCUGUGGAGGCACUUUGAAGUUGGGAACAAUAAGUUAGGAAAAAUUUUAAAAGUUUGUCAGAUCUCAGUGCACUGAAAUCCUGGGGUGAGGUCCCUGAGGAACUGUAGUGCUUGGCCGAAACCACGUGUCUCACAUCGAGAGCACAGUUUAAAAGAUGACAGGAACGAGGGUAAACAGCCUCUUAAUUAUGGUCUGAAAGAGAGCUGCUGUUUCUCUCCAGUUAUACAGAGUCACAAGGGCUUCAACCAACAGAUGUCAACGCACACUUGAUACGAGAUGCAGAAAAGACUCAGCCUUCAUUUUGAGAAAUUUAUUAAAAUAAGAACAAGCAUCAGUUGUACAUAGAAAUAAUCAUUUGCACUAAGGUGGUACUCAAGCAGAAGAGCAGUUUUAAAUAUAUUUUAAAAAUCACAAAAUACAUUGGUUAAGGCACCUACAUCUUGUCUCAUGUUUUCAAUAAAUAUGCUGUUUUUUAAAAAGGCAGUAGUGAGGACCUCUGAUUAAAUGAAUAUAGGCAUUGUGCUAUUAAAGAUAGUCAUACUUUGCUGUGGCCACUGAUUUAUUCUCAAAAGAACUUUCAUUAGCUUGGUUUAGCAUUUAAAAAAACAAAACUGAGUAUGAAAAAAUCACAGUUUUCUCUUUACAGUCUUAAGUCUCUUCCAGAGAGACCUAUGUACAAAAGGUACUAUUUCUUCAAUUAUUCCUUAAAGGAAUUAUGCAGAAGGUGCAAGA